rnacentral:tRNA from 1 species
UGGCUUAGACGGUGAAGUGUCUGCUUACAAUGCGGGAGACCCAGGUUCAAUUCCUGG